rnacentral:sRNA from 1 species
GCGUACUGGUUUGAUCGGGAUACUCAUCAAUUUACAUUUUAUUACCGAGAAAUGUUUCGUAUGCUAAUGGCGGGCCAUCCCAUUGUGGUUAGAUGGAUUACAGAGGCAGCGAACCCUCAAAACCUGUUUUUCGGAGUUUCAUCACAUCUCCAGUACGCCCUUUU